UCAAGAUUGUACAAAUAUUUCUUCUAUACUUAAUCUAUAAAUUUAAUUUCAAACACCAAAUGGAUUAUUUUCCGAAACUAGAAACACUUAAUCUAGUCUGAAAGCUAUAAAUGUAAGCAAAUAACCAUGAAUGGGUUGGAGGGAGAAGAGGGACAAUUAAUGGAAUGGAACCUGAACUACUGAUACCAGCAACUGAAACAAGAUGGUAUUAGCAUCGAAACUGACAGAAGAAACAUAAAAUAUAGUUAUAACUAGGUAGACUCGUGUGUGUGUGUGUGUAUUUUAAAUAUAUGACAAAGGUGGCAUUUCAGUUCCAUGGGAAACAGAUGAAUUAGUCAAUUAAGUGGUAGUACCUAAGACUGGUGGCUCACCAUUUAGG